UGGGGAAUUUUGGACAAUGGGCGAAAGCCUGAUCCAGCCAUGCCGCGUGAGUGAAGAAGGCCUUCGGGUUGUAAAGCUCUUUCAGUCGGAAAGAAAAGGCGCCGGAUAAUACCUGGCGCUGAUGACGGUACCGACAGAAGAAGCACCGGCUAACUACGUGCCAGCAGCCGCGGUAAUACGUAGGGUGCGAGCGUUAAUCGGAAUUACUGGGCGUAAAGCGUGCGCAGGCGGUUGUGCAAGACAGGUGUGA
rnacentral:rRNA from 1 species